rnacentral:rRNA from 1 species
ACGCUCGACACCUACGGGAGGCAGCAGUGGGGAAUAUUGCACAAUGGGGGAAACCCUGAUGCAGCGACGCCGCGUGGAGGAAGAAGGUCUUCGGAUUGUAAACUCCUGUUGUUGGGGAAAAAGAGGAUGGUACCCAACAAGGAAGUGACGGCUAACUACGUGCUAGCAGCCGCGGUAAUCUGAGCGGGCUGCAAGGC